CACCGCCCGUCACACCAUGGGAGUGGGCUGCACCAGAAGUAGGUUGGCUAACCGCAAGGAAGCUGCUUACCACGGUGUGGUUCAUGACUGGGGUG
rnacentral:rRNA from 1 species